rnacentral:rRNA from 1 species
GUGACCUCAAAUCAGGUAGGACUACCCGCUGAACUUAAGCAUAUCAAUAAGCGGAGGAAAAGAAACUAACAAGGAUUCCCCUAGUAACUGCGAGUGAAGCGGGAAAAGCUCAAAUUUAAAAUCUGUCAGUCUUUGGCUGUCCGAGUUGUAAUCUAGAGAAGUGUUAUCUGCGUUGGACCGUGUACAAGUCUCCUGGAAUGGAGCGUCAUAGAGGGUGAGAAUCCCGUCUCUGACACGGACUGCCAGGGCUUUGUGAUGCGCUCUCAAAGAGUCGAGUUGUUUGGGAAUGCAGCUCAAAAUGGGUGGUAAAUUCCAUCUAAAGCUAAAUAUUGGCGAGAGACCGAUAGCGAACAAGUACCGUGAGGGAAAGAUGAAAAGAACUUUGGAAAGAGAGUUAAACAGUACGUGAAAUUGCUGAAAGGGAAACGCUUGAAGUCAGUCGCGUUGUCCAGGGAUCAACCUUGCUUUUGCUUGGUGUACUUUCUGGUUAACGGGUCAGCAUCAAUUUUGAUCAUUGGAAAAAGGUUAGGGGAAUGUGGCAUCUUUGGAUGUGUUAUAGCCCUUGAUUGUAUACAAUGGUUGGGAUUGAGGAACUCAGCACGCCGCAAGGCCGGGUUUAACCACGUACGUGCUAGGAUG